CCUACGGGAGGCAGCAGUGGGGAAUAUUGGACAAUGGGCGCAAGCCUGAUCCAGCCAUGCCGCGUGAGUGAUGAAGGCCUUAGGGUUGUAAAGCUCUUUUGCCAGGGAAGAUAAUGACUGUACCUGGAGAAUAAGCCCCGGCUAACUUCGUGCCAGCAGCCGCGGUAAUACGAAGGGGGCUAGCGUUGUUCGGAAUCACUGGGCGUAAAGCGCACGUAGGCGGACUUUUAAGUCAGGGGUGAAAGCCUGAGGCUCAACCUCAGAACUGCCCUCGAUACUGGGAGUCUUGAGUAUGGUAGAGGUUGGUGGAACAGCAAGUGUAGAGGUGAAAUUCGUAGAUAUUUGCUAGAACACCAGUGGCGAAGGCGGCCAACUGGACCAUAACUGACGCUGAGGUGCGAAAGCGUGGGGAGCAAACAGGAUUAGAUACCCUGGUAGUCCACGCCGUAAACGAUGGAUGCUAGCCGUUAGCCAGCUUGCUGGGUAGUGGCGCAGGUAACCCUUUAAGCAUCCCGCCUGGGGAGUACGGUCGCAAGAUUAAAACUCAAAUGAAUUGACGG
rnacentral:rRNA from 1 species